rnacentral:rRNA from 1 species
AGCCUAGCAGCUAGCCUAACCAAUAAAUAUAAAAACUCCCCAUUAAUAAACCUAAAAAUCGCAUAACAACAUAUUAAAACAUUUUAUUGCUGAAGUAUAGGCGAUAGAAACAGAAAAC